CAAAAAAUAGUUUCAAAAUAAAAUAUUAAUUUUGGAAAUUAAUGAUAUAAAAUAUUAUUUUUUUGA
rnacentral:tRNA from 1 species